AUUGAACGCUGGCGGCAGGCCUAACACAUGCAAGUCGAGCGAGUGGCGGACGGGUGAGUAAUGUCUGGGAAACUGCCUGAUGGAGGGGGAUAACUACUGGAAACGGUAGCUAAUACCGCAUACCAUCGGAUGUGCCCAGAUGGGAUGAGCUAGUAGGUUGGGUAAAGGCUCACCUAGGCCACGAUCCCUAGCUGGGCUGAGAGGAUGACCAGCCAAACUGGAACGGAGACACGGUCCAGACUCCUACGGGAGGCAGCAGUGGGGAAUAUUGCACAAUGGGCGCAAGCCUGAUGCAGCCAUGCCGCGUGUGUGAAGAAGGCCUUCGGGUUGUAAAGUACUUUCAGCGGGGAGGCGUUACCCGCAGAAGAAGCACCGGCUAACUCCGUGCCAGCGGCCGCGGUAAUUC
rnacentral:rRNA from 1 species